rnacentral:rRNA from 1 species
AUUGAACGCUGGCGGCAGGCCUAACACAUGCAAGUCGAGCGGUAGAGAGAAGCUUGCUUCUCUUGAGAGCGGCGGACGGGUGAGUAAUGCCUAGGAAUCUGCCUAGUGGUGGGGGAUAACGUUCGGAAACGGACGCUAAUACCGCAUACGUCCUACGGGAGAAAGCGGGGGAUCUUCGGACCUCGCGCCAUUAGAUGAGCCUAGGUCGGAUUAGCUAGUUGGUGAGGUAAUGGCUCACCAAGGCGACGAUCCGUAACUGGUCUGAGAGGAUGAUCAGUCGCACUGGAACUGAGACACGGUCCAGACUCCUACGGGAGGCAGCAGUGGGGAAUAUUGGACAAUGGGCGAAAGCCUGAUCCAGCCAUGCCGCGUGUGUGAAGAAGGUCUUCGGAUUGUAAAGCACUUUAAGUUGGGAGGAAGGGCAGUUAGUUAAUACCUGACUGUUUUGACGUUACCAACAGAAUAAGCACCGGCUAACUUCGUGCCAGCAGCCGCGGUAAAAC